rnacentral:rRNA from 1 species
GGUUAAGUGACUAAGCGUACACGGUGGAUGCCUUGGCAGUUGGAGGCGAUGAAGGACGUAUUAACUUGCGAUAAGCCUAGUCAAGCUAGUAAAAAGCGCUUGAGACUAGGAUUUCCGAAUGGGGAAACCCACCUGCUUGCAGGUAUCUUGCACUGAAUACAUAGGUGUAAGAGGCGAACGCGGAGAACUGAAACAUCUAAGUACCCGUAGGAACAGAAAUCAACCGAGAUUCCGGAAGUAGCGGCGAGCGAAACCGGACCAGCCCUUAAGCUUAUUAUGUGUUAGUGGAACAUUCUGGAAAGUUUGACGAUACAGGGUGAUAGUCCCGUACACGAAAAUGCAUCUUAAGUGAAAUCGAGUAGGUCGGAGCACGUGAAACUUUGACUGAAUAUAGGUGGACCAUCAUCUAAGGCUAAAUACUCCCAACUGACCGAUAGUGAACCAGUACCGUGAGGGAAAGGCGAAAAGAACCCCUGUGAGGGGAGUGAAAUAGAACCUGAAACCGUGUACGUACAAGCAGUAGGAGCCCUUCGAGGGUGACUGCGUACCUUUUGUAUAAUGGGUCAGCGACUUAUAUUUUGUAGCGAGGUUAACCG